UUUUUGCACAAGCGGUGGAGCAUGUGGUUUAAUUCGAAGAUACGCGAAAAACCUUACCAGGUCUUGACAUACCAAUGAUCGCUUUUGUAAGGAAAGCUUUUUUUCGGAACAUUGGAUACAGGUGGUGCAUGGUUGUUGUCAGCUCGUGUCGUGAGAUGUUGGGUUAAGUCCCGCAACGAGCGCAACCCUUGUUAUUAGUUGCCAGCAUUUAGUUGGGCACUCUAAUGAGACUGCCGGUGAUAAACCGGAGGAAGGUGGGGACGACGUCAAAUCAUCAUGCCCCUUAUGACCUGGGCAACACACGUGCUACAAUGGGAAGUACAAAGAGUCGCAAACCGGCGACGGCAAGCUAAUCUCUUAAAACCUCUCUCAGUUCGGACUGGAGUCUGCAACUCGACUCCAGGAAGGCGGAAUCGCUAGUAAUCGCGAAUCACCAUGUCGCGGUGAAAGUUUCCCCCGGGGGAAAA
rnacentral:rRNA from 1 species